UAGCGUAGGGAGCGAGCGUUUGUCCGGAUUGUACAUUGGGCGUAAAGAGGCUCGUAGCGGUUCAGUAAGUCGGGUGUGAAAUCUCCGUGCUCAACACGGAGCGGCCUCCUGUGAUACUGCUGUGACUCGAGUCCGGUAGGGGUAGUGACGGAAUUCCCGGUGUAGCGGUGAAAUGCGCAGAUAUCGGGAGGAACACCAGUAGCGAAGGGCGGCACU
rnacentral:rRNA from 1 species